UACGGAGGGUGCAAGCGUUGUUCGGAAUCAUUGGGGGUAAAGCGCGUGUAGGCGGCUUGGCAAGUCAGUUGUGAAAGCCCGGGGCCCAACCCCGGAAUUGCAUCUGAAACUGCCUGGCUAGAGUCCCGGAGAGGAAGGCAGAAUUCCCGGUGUAGGGGUGAAAUCCGUAGAUAUCGGGAGGAAUACCAGCGGCGAAGGCGGCCUUCUGGACGGUGACUGACGCUGAGACGCGAAAGCGUGGGGAGCAAACAGG
rnacentral:rRNA from 1 species